GAUGAACGCUGGCGGCGUGCCUAAUACAUGCAAGUCGAGCGAACGGACGAGAAGCUUGCUUCUCUGAUGUUAGCGGCGGACGGGUGAGUAACACGUGGAUAACCUACCUAUAAGACUGGGAUAACUUCGGGAAACCGGAGCUAAUACCGGAUAAUAUUUUGAACCGCAUGGUUCAAAAGUGAAAGACGGUCUUGCUGUCACUUAUAGAUGGAUCCGCGCUGCAUUAGCUAGUUGGUAAGGUAACGGCUUACCAAGGCAACGAUGCAUAGCCGACCUGAGAGGGUGUGCGCCCAAACGGGAACUGAGCCAGGGCCCGGACUCCUAGGGGAGGCACCAGAAGGGAAUCUUCCGAAAGGGGGGAAAGCCGGCCGGCGCAGCGCCGCGUGUGUGAUAAAGGUCUCCGGAUGUAAAACCUGUUUUAUUAGGGAAAAACAUAUGUGAAAGAAACUGUCCACAUCGUGACGGUACCUAAUCAAAAAGCCACGGCUAACUACGUG
rnacentral:rRNA from 1 species